rnacentral:rRNA from 1 species
GUACACAAAAAUGCACAUAUUGUGAGCUCGAUGAGUAGGGCGGGACACGUGGUAUCCUGUCUGAAUAUGGGGGGACCAUCCUCCAAGGCUAAAUACUCCUGACUGACCGAUAGUGAACCAGUACCGUGAGGGAAAGGCGAAAAGAACCCCGGCGAGGGGAGUGAAAAAGAACCUGAAACCGUGUACGUACAAGCAGUGGGAGCCUCUUUAUGGGGUGACUGCGUACCUUUUGUAUAAUGGGUCAGCGACUUAUAUUCUGUAGCAAGGUUAACCGAAUAGGGGAGCCGAAGGGAAACCGAGUCUUAACUGGGCGUUAAGUUGCAGGGUAUAGACCCGAAACCCGGUGAUCUAGCCAUGGGCAGGUUGAAGGUUGGGUAACACUAACUGGAGGACCGAACCGACUAAUGUUGAAAAAUUAGCGGAUGACUUGUGGCUGGGGGUGAAAGGCCAAUCAAACCGGGAGAUAGCUGGUUCUCCCCGAAAGCUAUUUAGGUAGCGCCUCGUGAAUUCAUCUCCGGGGGUAGAGCACUGUUUCGGCAAGGGGGUCAUCCCGACUUACCAACCCGAUGCAAACUGCGAAUACCGGAGAAUGUUAUCACGGGAGACACACGGCGGGUGCUAACGUCCGUCGUGAAGAGGGAAACAACCCAGACCGCCAGCUAAGGUCCCAAAGUCAUGGUUAAGUGGGAAACGAUGUGGGAAGGCCCAGACAGCCAGGAUGUUGGCUUAGAAGCAGCCAUCAUUUAAAGAAAGCGUAAUAGCUCACUGGUCGAGUCGGCCUGCGCGGAAGAUGUAACGGGGCUAAACCAUGCACCGAAGCUGCGGCAGCGACACUAUGUGUUGUUGGGUAGGGGAGCGUUCUGUAAGCCUGUGAAGGUGGCCUGUGAGGGUUGCUGGAGGUAUCAGAAGUGCGAAUGCUGACAUAAGUAACGAUAAAGCGGGUGAAAAGCCCGCUCGCCGGAAGACCAAGGGUUCCUGUCCAACGUUAAUCGGGGCAGGGUGAGUCGACCCCUAAGGCGAGGCCGAAAGGCGUAGUCGAUGGGAAACAGGUUAAUAUUCCUGUACUUGGUGUUACUGCGAAGGGGGGACGGAGAAGGCUAUGUUGGCCGGGCGACGGUUGUCCCGGUUUAAGCGUGUAGGCUGGUUUUCCAGGCAAAUCCGGAAAACCAAGGCUGAGGCGUGAUGACGAGGCACUACGGUGCUGAAGCGACAAAUGCCCUGCUUCCAGGAAAAGCCUCUAAGCAUCAGGUAACAUCAAAUCGUACCCCAAACCGACACAGGUGGUCAGGUAGAGAAUACCAAGGCGCUUGAGAGAACUCGGGUGAAGGAACUAGGCAAAAUGGUGCCGUAACUUCGGGAGAAGGCACGCUGAUAUGUAGGUGAAGCGACUUGCUCGUGGAGCUGAAAUCAGUCGAAGAUACCAGCUGGCUGCAACUGUUUAUUAAAAACACAGCACUGUGCAAACACGAAAGUGGACGUAUACGGUGUGACGCCUGCCCGGUGCCGGAAGGUUAAUUGAUGGGGUUAGCGGUAACGCGAAGCUCUUGAUCGAAGCCCCGGUAAACGGCGGCCGUAACUAUAACGGUCCUAAGGUAGCGAAAUUCCUUGUCGGGUAAGUUCCGACCUGCACGAAUGGCGUAAUGAUGGCCAGGCUGUCUCCACCCGAGACUCAGUGAAAUUGAACUCGCUGUGAAGAUGCAGUGUACCCGCGGCAAGACGGAAAGACCCCGUGAACCUUUACUAUAGCUUGACACUGAACAUUGAGCCUUGAUGUGUAGGAUAGGUGGGAGGCUUUGAAGUGUGGACGCCAGUCUGCAUGGAGCCGACCUUGAAAUACCACCCUUUAAUGUUUGAUGUUCUAACGUUGGCCCGUAAUCCGGGUUGCGGACAGUGUCUGGUGGGUAGUUUGACUGGGGCGGUCUCCUCCUAAAGAGUAACGGAGGAGCACGAAGGUUGGCUAAUCCUGGUCGGACAUCAGGAGGUUAGUGCAAUGGCAUAAGCCAGCUUGACUGCGAGCGUGACGGCGCGAGCAGGUGCGAAAGCAGGUCAUAGUGAUCCGGUGGUUCUGAAUGGAAGGGCCAUCGCUCAACGGAUAAAAGGUACUCCGGGGAUAACAGGCUGAUACCGCCCAAGAGUUCAUAUCGACGGCGGUGUUUGGCACCUCGAUGUCGGCUCAUCACAUCCUGGGGCUGAAGUAGGUCCCAAGGGUAUGGCUG